GAUACAGGGUGACAGCCCCGUACACAAAAAUGCACAUAUUGUGAGCUCGAUGAGUAGGGCGGGACACGUGGUAUCCUGUCUGAAUAUGGGGGGACCAUCCUCCAAGGCUAAAUACUCCUGACUGACCGAUAGUGAACCAGUACCGUGAGGGAAAGGCGAAAAGAACCCCGGCGAGGGGAGUGAAAAAGAACCUGAAACCGUGUACGUACAAGCAGUGGGAGCACGCUUAGGCGUGUGACUGCGUACCUUUUGUAUAAUGGGUCAGCGACUUAUAUUCUGUAGCAAGGUUAACCGAAUAGGGGAGCCGAAGGGAAACCGAGUCUUAACUGGGCGUUAAGUUGCAGGGUAUAGACCCGAAACCCGGUGAUCUAGCCAUGGGCAGGUUGAAGGUUGGGUAACACUAACUGGAGGACCGAACCGACUAAUGUUGAAAAAUUAGCGGAUGACUUGUGGCUGGGGGUGAAAGGCCAA
rnacentral:rRNA from 1 species